rnacentral:rRNA from 1 species
AUUGAACGCUGGCGGCAUGCCUUACACAUGCAAGUCGAACGGUAACAGGUCUUCGGAUGCUGACGAGUGGCGAACGGGUGAGUAAUACAUCGGAACGUGCCUAGUAGUGGGGGAUAACUACUCGAAAGAGUGGCUAAUACCGCAUGAGAGCUACGGAUGAAAGCAGGGGAUCGCAAGACCUUGUGCUACUAGAGCGGCAGACGGCAGAUUAGGUAGUUGGUGGGAUAAAAGCUUACCAAGCCGACGAUCUGUAGCUGGUCUGAGAGGACGAUCAGCCACACUGGGACUGAGACACGGCCCAGACUCCUACGGGAGGCAGCAGUGGGGAAUUUUGGACAAUGGGCGCAAGCCUGAUCCAGCAAUGCCGCGUGCAGGAUGAAGGCCUUCGGGUUGUAAACUGCUUUUGUACGGAACGAAAAGCCCUGGGUUAAUACCCUGGGGUCAUGACGGUACCGUAAGAAUAAGCACCGGCUAACUACGUGCCAGCAGCCGCGGUAAGAC